rnacentral:rRNA from 1 species
AACGAACGCUGGCGGCAUGCCUAACACAUGCAAGUCGAACGAUGCCUUCGGGCAUAGUGGCGCACGGGUGCGUAACGCGUGGGAAUCUGCCCUUGGCUUCGGAAUAACAGUUAGAAAUGACUGCUAAUACCGGAUGAUGUCCCCCUGAGAGAUCUUGGGGACCAAAGAUUUAUCGGCCAGGGAUGAGCCCGCGUAGGAUUAGGUAGUUGGUGGGGUAAAGGCCUACCAAGCCGACGAUCCUUAGCUGGUCUGAGAGGAUGAUCAGCCACACUGGGACUGAGACCCGGCCCAGACUCCCACGGGAGGCAGCAGUGGGGAAUAUUGGACAAUGGGGGGAACCCUGAUCCAGCAAUGCCGCGUGAGUGAUGAAGGCCUUAGGGUUGUAAAGCUCUUUUACCAGGGAUGAUAAUGACAGUACCUGGAGAAUAAGCUCCGGCUAACUCCGUG